ACUGGGUGUAUUAUCCCUUAGUGUAAACUAAUGGUUUCACUUCCGGUGCACUUUUUUUCAGUGUGCUUUGGCAAACAUGAAUGACAUACUAUAUAUUACUUGUAAAUAAAAUAUGAAGAAACGUAAAUAUAACUAUGAAAGGCUUUUUCUAGAGCAAAUAUACAUUUUGAGCUGCAGUGCAUGGUGGGAAAUAUGUGACUGAAGUGACAGUUGUCACUUCCCGAUCCCCUUUGCCUAACCACGCCCUAAUCGCGCACAUGUAUAUUACGUCACUUCCUCUUUGCCGCCAACAUUUGAGACGGUGGAGAGUUUUGGAUUUGAUUUGCGUCAGCUGGAUUUGAUUUCCGACAGUUGGGUGAUCGGGUGGCCGAAACAGAGAUCCGACAACAGUAUAUUUAACAGCUGGUUGCCACAGUCGCUACUAUUUCAUAAACCGUAUUCCAAAAACAUCCAUUCAUCUGUCAGUAACGGAUCACCUCCUUCAACAGAGUCACCACGUUUAAAGGAUGACAUGCAGUUACGAACUGAAAGGUAAAUACAACUUAGCUUCAAUCCUUGAUAUUCGUGCUUCGUUGCUAAUUUAAACCGUUCAUACAUUUCAUAAAUACAACGUUAGAAUAUUUGUUUCUAUAAAGAUCUAAAAACGUGUUUUGUAUGUUCGUUUUAGUAUGUACUUGCACAGAGUUUUUCCUCAAAGCUGCAGGUGCCAUCGAUGGAUGCCACAUCAGGAUCAAACCUCCUUGUGACCCUGGCAUCAUUCCAAAAGCGCCCUCCAUUAUAGAGCGUGCUUUUGGAAUGAUGAAGACAAGAUUCAGAGGUAUCUUCCUGCAUGUGCUGGAGGUUGUCACAGCUUGUGCCAUCCUCCACAAUAUCUGCCCCUGUGCUGACGACACCGAGGCCCCAGAGGACGAUGUGGAGGUGAUGAUGAGGAGGAAGCUGGUUUGGAGGCCACCAGCGGUGCUCUCUGGAAGGACCAACUACCUACUGAGGUUUCUGCCCUGGGGGAGGUACCACCUGACAUGGAUUACUUUUAACAGCAUCCGUCCACAGCUAACCCUGUAAACCCUGAAGAUGGAUGAUGCAGUCUACAGUGAAGAUGCAUCCUGAAACUCUGCAGACCAUCCUAGAAGAUGUUCCAAUCACCACCCACAAAGUUCCAUCCUCGUGUCUCAGUUGAAGCAUCUCAUCCAUGUCGACCAUCUUUGUAAAUAGUGUUACAAUGAAUGACCAUUACUGUGUUGGAUUUAUACCUUUAUAUAUAUAAAAAAGGAAACAUUUUAAUACAUCAAAUAUAAACUUCAUUUAUUCUCAGAAAUCAAAUGUGGUUAUUUGUUGGCAUUUUUUUCCAAGAGACUAUAAAGUUGGUCAAAAGUCUCCCUCCUCUCUCGUGCCCUCUGCUCUUCUGCCUCAUGUCCUCUCUGAUCAGGUCUAGAAGCUCUUCACUAGUCGAGUUUCCAUUGACUCUGAAAUUUUGUAAAUUAUGCAUCCCGUCGUGUU